UACGAAGGGGGCUAGCGUUGUUCGGAAUCACUGGGCGUAAAGCGCACGCAGGCGGAUUGAUAAGUCAGGGGUGAAAUCCCGGAGCUCAACUUCGGAAUUGCCUUUGAUACUGUCUGUCUUGAGUCCGGGAGAGGUGAGUGGAAUUCCUAGUGUAGAGGUGAAAUUCGUAGAUAUUCGCAAGAACACCAGUGGCGAAGGCGGCUCACUGGCCCGGUACUGACGCUGAGGUGCGAAAGCGGAUGGGGAGCAAA
rnacentral:rRNA from 1 species